CCUCGGCCUACAUAGCGUGCUAUUUCCAUCAUCGUCAUCAUGGGCGUGUCCUUACGUCCUCCACCGCAACCUCCCACGAGCCGAUUAAAGUCGCCACACACCAAGCGGAGUAAAGAGAAGAAAUGAGUUCAAUUCAGAGCAUGAAAUAAAACCUCUCGCCGCCUUCUGAGCCGCGAGAGGCCGCUCGCAUCGUGAAAUGGAGAUACAUUGAUUUGAAACACAUUCGAGAAGAUUUCUGACGACGCGGCAUGCUUCCACUGAGAGAGAUCUUUCUGAUCCGCGGCUCACUCAUCAACACAAGCGACUGAUAAUCCCUCAGUCUCAGUCAGACGGCCGAAGCCAGAUUCUAUUUUUUUCUGAGGCAAAACCAGAAUGAACUCAGUGUCCAGACUCUAUCCAGGUGUCUGGCAGCAGGAAAUCGAGCAAGACGAGCUGUAACAAUGACUUCAUGAGAACAACGGUCCAAUUGUGUGUCGUCGCCCCCCCGGCUCCCGGGAUCAGAUUUUUGCAGAAACCCGUGGUCCUUCUUAUUCCCACCACUCACCGCGACACGAAGUCUGACCCCCGCAAACGUGCCAUUGAUCAACGGAGCCCGAGGCGACAGCGGCACCAGGUUCCGCGGCAGAGG
rnacentral:lncRNA from 1 species